GAUGAACGCUGGCGGCGUGCCUAAUACAUGCAAGUCGAGCGAACAGAUGAGGAGCUUGCUCCUCUGACGUUAGCGGCGGACGGGUGAGUAACACGUGGAUAACCUACCUAUAAGACUGGGAUAACUUCGGGAAACCGGAGCUAAUACCGGAUAAUAUAUUGAACCGCAUGGUUCAAUAGUGAAAGACGGUUUUGCUGUCACUUAUAGAUGGAUCCGCGCCGCAUUAGCUAGUUGGUAAGGUAACGGCUUACCAAGGCAACGAUGCGUAGCCGACCUGAGAGGGUGAUCGGCCACACUGGAACUGAGCCCCGGUCCAGACUCCUACGGGAGGCAGCAGUAGGGAAUCUUCCGCAAUGGGCGAAAGCCUGACGGAGCAACGCCGCGUGAGUGAUGAAGUUCUUCGGAUCGUAAAACUCUGUUAUUAGGGAAGAACAAAUGUGUAAGUAACUAUGCACGUCUUGACGGUACCUAAUCAGAAAGCCACGGCUAACUACGUG
rnacentral:rRNA from 1 species